UAUUAGGUUGGUGCAAAAGUAAUUGCGGUUUUUGCCAUUCCUUUAAAAACGGCAAAAACUGCAGUUACUUUUGCACCAACCUAAUA
ensembl:miRNA